rnacentral:rRNA from 1 species
GGGGAUUAAAGGGGGGGGUGUGGUUCCUGCUCGCACAUGCAGUCGAGCGGAUGAUGGGAGCUUGCUCCUGGAUUCAGCGGCGGACGGGUGAGUAAUGCCUAGGAAUCUGCCUGGUAGUGGGGGACAACGUUUCGAAAGGAACGCUAAUACCGCAUACGUCCUACGGGAGAAAGCAGGGGACCUUCGGGCCUUGCGCUAUCAGAUGAGCCUAGGUCGGAUUAGCUUGUUGGUGAGGUAAUGGCUCACCAAGGCGACGAUCCGUAACUGGUCUGAGAGGAUGAUCAGUCACACUGGAACUGAGACACGGUCCAGACUCCUACGGGAGGCAGCAGUGGGGAAUAUUGGACAAUGGGCGAAAGCCUGAUCCAGCCAUGCCGCGUGUGUGAAGAAGGUCUUCGGAUUGUAAAGCACUUUAAGUUGGGAGGAAGGGUUGUAGAUUAAUACUCUGCAAUUUUGACGUUACCGACAGAAUAAGCACCGGCUAACUCUGUGCCAGCAGCCGCGGUAAUACAGAGGGUGCAAGCGUUAAUCGGAAUUACUGGGCGUAAAGCGCGCGUAGGUGGUUUGUUAAGUUGGAUGUGAAAGCCCCGGGCUCAACCUGGGAACUGCAUCCAAAACUGGCAAGCUAGAGUACGGUAGAGGGUGGUGAAAUUUCCUGUGUAGCGGUGAAAUGCGUAGAUAUAGGAAGGAACACCAGUGGCGAAGGCGACCACCUGGACUGAUACUGACACUGAGGUGCGAAAGCGUGGGGGAGCAAACAGGAUUAGAUACCCUGGUAGUCCACGCCGUAAACGAUGUCAACUAGCCGUUGGAAUCCUUGAGAUUUAGUGGCGCAGCUUAACGCAUUAAGGUUGACCGGCCUGGGGGAGUACGGGCCGCAAGUUUAAAACUUCAAAUGAAUUGGACGGGGGCGCCCCGCAACAGCGGUGCAGCAUGUGGUUUAAUUUCGAAAGCAACGCGGAAGAAACCUUAACCAAGCCUUGGAAAGGGAAGAAACUUUCCCAGAAGAUGGAUUGGGUGCCUUCGGAACUCCUGACACAGGUGCCUGCAUGCUUUCGUCAGGCUCGGUCGAGAGAGUUGAGUUUAAGUCCAGUACCGGGCGCACCUUGCUCUUAGUUACCAGCCAGUUUAGGGCGGCCACUCAAAGACACGUCGCAGUAACAACACGGGAAAGGUGGAAUGACUCAGGCUCACUAGGGCUAAUUCACGCCCUGUGCGUGUCGUACUUCA